AUUGAACGCUGGCGGCAGGCUUAACACAUGCAAGUCGAGCGAGCGGCGGACGGGUGAGUAAUGUCUGGGAAACUGCCUGAUGGAGGGGGAUAACUACUGGAAACGGUAGCUAAUACCGCAUACCAUCGGAUGUGCCCAGAUGGGAUUAGCUAGUAGGUGGGGUAAUGGCUCACCUAGGAGACGAUCCCUAGCUGGUCUGAGAGGAUGCCCAGCCGCACUGGAACUGAGCUACGGUCCAGACUCCUAAGGGAGGCAGCAGUGGGGAAUAUUGGACAUUGGGCGCAAGCCUGAUGCAGCCAUGCCGCGUGUGUGAAGAAGGCCUUCGGGUUGUAAAGUACUUUCAGCGAGGAGGCGUUACUCGCAGAAGAAGCACCGGCUAACUCCGUGCCAGCAGCCUCGGUAAUAC
rnacentral:rRNA from 1 species